AUUGAACGCUGGCGGCAGGCCUAACACAUGCAAGUCGAACGGUAACAGGAAGAAGCUUGCUUCUUUGCUGACAAGUGGCGGACGGGUGAGUAAUGUCUGGGAAACUGCCUGAUGGAGGGGGAUAACUACUGGAAACGGUAGCUAAUACCGCAUAACGUCGCAAGACCAAAGAGGGGGACCUUCGGGCCUCUUGCCAUCGGAUGUGCCCAGAUGGGAUUAGCUAGUAGGUGGGGUAACGGCUCACCUAGGCGACGAUCCCUAGCUGGUCUGAGAGGAUGACCAGCCACACUGGAACUGAGACACGGUCCAGACUCCUACGGGAGGCAGCAGUGGGGAAUAUUGCACAAUGGGCGCAAGCCUGAUGCAGCCAUGCCGCGUGUAUGAAGAAGGCCUUCGGGUUGUAAAGUACUUUCAGCGGGGAGGAAGGGAGUAAAGUUAAUACCUUUGCUCAUUGACGUUACCCGCAGAAGAAGCACCGGCUAACUCCGUG
rnacentral:rRNA from 1 species